GUAAACUUUUACUUUGCAUUAAACAAGACUCAGAGGAUAAAACAUAUAAUAAUAAGUCUAGAAAUAAAUCACAAGCCCAAACCAGUUUCAAAAUAAAUCAACCCAAAUAUAAAUCAAUCCAGCUCAAAACACAAUCAGGAAACCUUAGCCUAGUAAAGAACAGAGCCAUCUUUACAUUCCAGCGCCGCCGUCCACCUCCCUGCUCUGAGCUAGAAAUGCCAGAAGAAAUAUUUGAGAACCCAUCGCCUUAAAUAAGAAAAAAUAGCUACUGCACAAAGACCAUCAAAGGGUCUCAAUAAAACUAGCAAAGGGUCUCCUUUUCCAUGCUUCAGAACCGUUGACUAGUCGGGAAGGGUGGCGCCGCAAACUCACUGGUCUCUCAUUCUCUUUUAGCCUGGGGAUCAACCUUCAAACAGAGAGGAAGAGGUGUGUACCCCUAGAAUAGCCGACGUCCCUACAAAGCUUUAAGGCUCCUCCCUUCAGGCAAACGACACUGAGCUAAAACCACCUAGCUCUUAGAUCACUAAUCUACUUCAGGCAACCCUCCCUUUGAAAACUUUAGAGAUUGCCAAACAAAACCCAAAACAAUUAUCAAUAACACCAAGUCAGGAUGGGGAGGGAACCCACACCCAACCGAUGAGAACGAUUUUCUUCCCCUACUCAAAGGAUAGAAGAAGCUAUGUAAAAAAACACGGUGAAUUCGAGAGAUAACCUAAAAAAAAAAAAAGAAUGAAAUUUAGAAUGAAAUUUGGCAAUAUUGCAUUUGAUAGUCCAUGAAAAAUAGUGGAAAAAGAAUGAAAUUUAGAAUGCAAUGCAGCACGCUUAAAACAGAAACAUAGAAAAUCUUAAGUAUACGUACAGCGGAAGAAUGGAAAAUGCCAGGUAAUAAGGUCAUCAUUCCAAUGAUUUGGCAAGUAUCGUUUGAUUGCUGGCAACAAUGUUGCCGAAAGUGCAAUGAUUCCAAGCGCGAAAAAGUAGCAUGUCAAC
rnacentral:misc_RNA from 1 species